CCGUGCUAGGUGGGGAGGUAGCGGUGCCCUGCACCCGCAAUCCGCUAUAGCGGGACUGAAUUCCCACUCGAGGAGCGUGCUUGUAAGGUCUGAGGCCGGUAAGUAGCGUUGAGGGCCGGGUCCUGCGCAAUGAGAAUCUGUGAACCGGGUCAGGACCGGGAGGUAGCAGCCCUAAGCGGACACUCUCAUGUGCCGCAGGGCGGCCCGGCCGGAGCAGGCUGCCGGAGGGCGCUUGGAGGCCCGUAUUCGACGGUGGGUGCACGG
rnacentral:SRP_RNA from 1 species